GCUCUCAUAGUUCAACGGAUAGAAUACAACGUUGCGGUCGUUGAGAUCAGGGUUCAAUUCCUUGUGGGAGCA
rnacentral:tRNA from 1 species